AAAAGCAAGAGUUAAGAAGAGCCAGAGUUAAGGAGAGCAAGUUAAGGCAUCCACCUCUGUCGCUGUCCCAAGAACCAGCUGGCCCUUGGCUUCCCUGAUCACCAAAUGGAUGCUCUUGGCAAUGACAUCUCCUUACUUCAGGACAAGGAAUGGCCCAGAAGAAAAGGGUUACGUGGAGACAGACAGGAAAGAGAAAAACCAGGUGCUUUGGUUCUUUCCUGCCUGUAACUCAUUAACUAAACUCAAGUCCUUUUUCUUCCUCCCUUUGGACUGGAGGUAAAGUCCUGACCAGGCCUGAGGGGAUAGUUCUGGAAGGCCUUUUCAGGGUCAGAAAACAUGCAAGCAACUUUGUUUGCAUCAGCAAGUCCAGCUGCAUCAUGCAAGCCCUUUGAGUAGCCACUGACUCCCAACACAAAACAGAUGUCUGUUCUACAGAGCGGGAACAUACAUUGCUCCUAAACUGGCUGGCUGAGUCUUUCCCUGGUGGGCAGAAGCCCAGACUCUGAGUCCGCCCAGCUGAGGGUGAGUCCUGACUCCACAACUCACGGUGACACCUGAACUAGAGAAAUGGAAGCAGACAAGACUUGGCAUAAUGUCUUCAAGGUUCAUCCAUGUUGCAGCAGCGUCAAACUUCCUUUCCUUUCGUUGCUGAAUGAUAUUUUGUUGUAAGAAGACACCACAUUUUUUUUAUUUAUUCAUCAACUGACACUUGGAUUGUUUCUUCUCUUUAACUAUUAUGAAUAGUGCUGCUAUGAAUGUUCACAUACAAGUUUUUGAGUGAACAUGUGUUUUUAUUCCUCUUGGGUCUAGCAGUGUCUUUUUCCUCUUAAAGAUCUACUGCAAGAAUUUAUAUAUGUGUGUGUGUGUGUGUUCAUAUAUACACAAGCUAGCCAUAAAGUUCAUGUGCAAUUUACUAUGUUAAACUAUUUUAAAUCGCAUUUGAAAUUUAUGUCCACCCUGUAUAUCCCCACCACCACCCCCCCCAUCAUAACCUCUUGAAGAAGUGGCUUCAAGUGGCUUGGCCCCUGAAGCCCUCAGAGCUCUGACAUCCUGUCCAGGACCUUCCGUGUGAUCCUGGGGUACUACCCAUUCUCACUGCCCUUCAGUUGUGCUAUCAGUAGCAGGAAGGUGAGAACACCAGCUCUUUGAUCUUCUCAUAGGAUCUUGAGAAGAUAAAUGAAAUGACAUAAAUUGAGAGGAUCUAGUUUUUUGAAGAUACUAACCCAUGUGGAUGGGCUAUUGUGAAUCAAAGAAAAAAGACACACCUGGACCAAGGUUUUGCAACACAUGGAUGUCCAAGAGGCCAGUGGCUUGAUGUGGGGACACAGGAUUAAAAAAAAUAAUCAUCUGGCCAGGUGCAGGGGUUCAUAUCUGUGAUCCUGGCACUCUGGGAGCCAGAGGCAGGAGGAUCCUUUGAGCUCAGGAGUUUGAGACCAGCGUGAGAAGCAUGAGACAUUAUCUCUACUAAAAAUAAAAAAAAAAAACUAGCCAGGCAUUGUGGUGGGCACCAGUAGUCCCAGCUACUUGGGAGACUGAGACAGGAGGAUCGCUUGAG